AUCAUUAACGGGGUAUGCAACUCCCGUCUCUUACCAUUAAUUGGAUUUAAAAAAAAAGAAAAUUAGCAUAAUUAAUAGGAAACGUAUCUUAAUUAGGGGAAAGAAGAUACCGUCUUCUGAGACGCGUGUUGUGUAUUGGUUGUUCUUCUCCUUCUCUUCUUCGCCUUCUCGUUCUUCUGCUGCUUGGCUGUUCAUCUCUGUCUCGUGGAUCGAAAAACUAAAGCGAAUGGACAAAGGCAAAGCAGUGAUGGGUACUGGCCGGAGAUGGGCCGUCGAUUUCUCCGAUCAAUCCACCGUUCCAUCUUCCCGCGACAUUCUCGAUCCCCCUGGCUUCAUACGUGUAUAUCCUCCGCCUCUUCGAGCAGAUUUUGUUUUGUUUUCUUCAGCUCUUCCUCGUCUUUGGCGAUUCUCCUCCUAGCCUCCGUUAUCCAACCAUGAACGAGAAGGCCAACGUAUCCAAGGAGCUUAAUGCCCGCCACAGAAAGGUCUCUCUCUUUCGAUCGAAAUCUCAGACUGUUUUUGUUUUUUCUCUGAGCUAUGCUGAUUUGUAAUUAUAUAUUGUGAUCGAUGAUUAACCAUUGGAUCCUGGACGAUCUUAAUUCGCUUGGAUCUGUGAUUUUUAGCAGCUAAAUUUCUUCCUUUUUUAUUCGAUUAAUCAAAGUUAGGUGAGGUCUUACGAUCUUUUUUUAUUUGGGUAAUGAAUUGUCCUUCCAGAAAAAUCUAAUCUCCUGAUCACACAACAUACAAGAGAGACGAUCUCGUUUAAGUUUGUCUGUUUCUAUAGAAUUUCGUGGUUCUGUUGCUUGAUUUUGGAAGAAUCAAACAAAGGUAUCAAAUUCUUUUAUGUUUUUUAAAAUCUCUAUUAUAUCUUUUUCACUUUCUCGUUUAUUUAUCUGUUUUCUGCACUAUCUUAUUGCAUCCAUCCAUUAUAACAACGUCCCUUAAAUGAUAAGCGACCAUUUAUGCAUCUGCACUCUUCAGCAUGAUUAGUAAAAGUAACUUAGACUAAGCCAACAUGUUCUGUGAUUUAAUAAAGCUUUACCUUAGAUCUUAGUGUAUGUAAGUCAGUAAUUGCUUGCACCUAUUUCUUAUAUGCAAGGGUAGAACUCUUUAAUGGUAAAUGAGGUUUGAUAGAAGGUUGUAUACAAAACAUAGCCAAAACUGGAGUUGAUUUUGUCGCAAAGAAGAAUAGAAGGUGAUUCUACCUCACGGCAUCCAGUGGCAGGUGUUUGCAGCUUUUGGAUAUACAUCCAGACAAAUACAAGACGCUUCCAAACUCUCUUCCGGGUACCUUCUUUUCCUCACAUGUAUCAUUGUCUCGUAUUCUUUUGUUGGAUAUAUAUAGGGAACUUUGAUAUAUAAAGUACGAUUAUGUUGUCAACUAAAUUUUAGAACAUGUAAAUCACACAUGUUAUAGAUCAUUCAACAAUGUUUAUUUUUAUUUUUUUUAAGAACUCCUAAA